UACAUAGGCACCAAGCGUUGUCCGGAUUUAUUGGGCGUAAAGAGCUCGUAGGUGGUUCGGUAAGUCGGGUGUGAAAACUUUGGGCUCAACCCAAAGCCUGCAUCCGAUACUGCUGUGACUAGAGUUCGGUAGGGGAGCGGGGAAUUCCUAGUGUAGCGGUGAAAUGCGCAGAUAUUAGGAGGAACACCGGUGGCGAAGGCGCCGCUCUGGGCCGAUACUGACACUGAGGAGCGAAAGCGUGGGUAGCAAACAGG
rnacentral:rRNA from 1 species